AUGCAGAUGCUCUGCCGGUCACACCAUAGACCCUCACCCAGCAUCGCUCAAAUCGCCAUCGAAUCGUCUUCCCCAAAAAUUGACGUUCCAGAUCUCUAUAUCCACGGUGUACCUUCAGAAGCUAAAGCCACCAGAUCCAGAAGAUCAUGUGCGCCGCAUCUCUUGCCUACCAUGCACCCUCGCUUCUCAUCAGCCAUCAGAUCUCUCCACAUAUGA